rnacentral:rRNA from 1 species
GAACGCCAGCGGCAGGCCUAACACAUGCAAGUCGAGGGAGGAGCUUUCGGGCUUCGACCGGCGUACGGGUGCGUAACGCGUAUACAAUCUGCCUUUCACAUAGGGAUAGCCCGAAGAAAUUUGGAUUAAUACCUAAUGGUAUAUAGGGAUGGCAUCAUUUUUAUAUUAAAGCUGAGGCGGUGAAAGAUGAGUAUGCGUUCUAUUAGCUAGUUGGAGAGGUAACGGCUCCCCAAGGCUACGAUAGAUAGGGGUUCUGAGAGGGAUAUCCCCCACACUGGUACUGAGAUACGGACCAGACUCCUACGGGAGGCAGCAGUGAGGAAUAUUGGACAAUGGUCGGAAGACUGAUCCAGCCAUGCCGCGUGCAGGAAGACGGCCUUAUGGGUUGUAAACUGCUUUUGCAGGGGAAGAAUAAGGACUACGUGUAGUUUGAUGACGGUACUCUGCGAAUAAGCAUCAGCUAACUCCGUGCCAGCAGCCGCGGUAAUACGGAGGAUGCGAGCGUUAUCCGGAAUCAUUGGGUUUAAAGGGUCCGUAGGCGGGCUAAUAAGUCAGAGGCGAAAGCGCUCAGCUCAACUGAGCAACUGCCUUUGAAACUGUUAGUCUUGAAUGAUUGUGAAGUAGUUGGAAUGUGUAGUGUAACGGUGAAAUGCUUA